rnacentral:lncRNA from 1 species
AGUCUCCACCAUCUCGAUGGCUUGCUUCAUUUCCAGCUUCUUGUACAAAGAAACAAUGCUUGAUUUGGGUAGGUUCUUUCUGAUGAGGAUUUUCCGUAAGUAUCUAUGAUCAAACUUCUUAAACCUAAAAAUGAAAACCAACAUUUUGGAAAUCUUGAACGUCUGUAUGUGUUACAUUAAGUAUGCAUUUCUCUUGAAACAAACUACUUACUACUUAACUUUAUUCUGAAGAAACAUCAGGACAGUGCCUGGAAUUCAUAGCAUUUGAACACAUUUUUUAAAAAAAUUCAUAGCAUUUAUGCAUUUUUUAAAAUAAAAAAAAAGAAUGGCCUACUGGCCUGAAUACAUUGAAAAUCAGCUAAACAAAAGGAAGGGACAAGCUGCAAUCAGGGCAAAAAGUGUGCAUAAGUGAGGCGCGGGGGAGGCCCAGCCCAGCUCAGCUCCAAUUGUAAGAGAAGAAAUGAGGGGGCUGAAGCUUUUGAAUAAGUGUUCCAUUCUAAUAGCGCAUAACAGCGGCAGCUGCACUUACAGUAAUACUGGCCUAUUCAACCAGAACCCAAUAAGUUUAAAUGGCCCGGUAGUUACAGUAGUUUUGCCCCAUUAUGCUGCAGAUCAUUUUGAAUCCUACCAAUUAAGGGGAAGAAAAAAACCCUACGUAUGUCCCAAUAGCCUGAAUGAUGGAGAUUCUGAAUAGGCGAGACUGAUGGCCGCUGACUAUUGUAAGGAACCUCUGGCCAGCCCAUUCGACUGAGCUGCGCUAUGCAUAUGGUGCCUUCAGAGUCAGCCAUUUGUUUGGAGUUGGAAUUUUCAACACUUUCAAUCAUUUUACAUUCAAAGAGUAGUUUGCCCGCCUGCUUUAUUUUCCAGAGGGGCACAUAGCUUUCCGGGCUGCUGGUUUAUUAUCUGGCAAUUGGUUUCCUGGUCUGUGAGGUGCUAAGCCCCUCCAGGGUUAGGGGCUGGCUUCCUGAGCUUUGCUGUCCCAGCUCGGCUCAGACCAGGCCUCCUCUUAUUCCAACUGGGUCGAUCUUCUGUCUUCUAGUUUUCUGCCCUCAUGAGAAGCCGCGGUUCCUGUGUAUUCUCAGCCCACGGUAAUCACCUCCCCAACCAUAACACCCUCCCUGACUUUCUUCUCACUGAGCUCGCCUUGACCUUGCCCUGUUCAACUCCAGAGGCUGCCCUCAUUCUUCCCAUACUGGAUGCUUUGUGUCUCCUGACGUGCUGGGUCCUCCCCUCUGCGCCCUCCACACCCUGACUCGCUCGUGCUUCGCUGCCAGCCUCUCUGACCACUUCUUCUCAAUCUCCUUCCGCACUUUCUUUUCCUUGCCUGCGCCACGAGAGUGAGAGCUUCUCAGAGCCCCAUCCUCAGUGAGCUUCCAGCUACUCACUGACAACUCUAGCCGCAACCUCCCUCCUGAACUGGAAACUAAGUCCAGUAAAACAAUACAUUCUGAAAGGUGAGAUAUGGUGAAGAAGAGGGAUUUGGGCAUUUUAAAAAAGAAUUACUAUAUUUGAGAAUCUUAAAGAUCUUCCACCAUGGCCUCCCCAACAAUGGAGGAAUCCCUUGCCAGGAUUCCUAAGGAGGCACCAAGCUCCCUUUCUAAACUCCUUUUCUAAGCUGGCCAUUCCGUGGUAGAGCUGAUCUUAUCAUUGGGAACCUUGUCCUUGUUUUUAACUUAAAUAUUACUUUUCUAAUUUCUACCCACUAGCUGUACCAGUUCUCUCUGAAACAACCUACACCAAGUCAACUGCGUCUUCCACCUGACAAUUCUUCAUUUUCCAGGCUUAGCAUGCCCUGGAAUUUCAACCACUUCCUGUAGGGGAUGGCUCAGGAGCACUUUAUCUUCUUGGUCUCCAUUCCCUGAAUUCUCUCUGAUUUUAUGCCCAGCUUCCAAUGGAACCUUUAGAAGUUUGUCAGGGAGUGAAACCCUCAGCCUCCUUACUUGUCUCUCACUUGGUAGUGACUCCAGUGCCCACACACAUCUUCGAUUCCAGCCUUUAAGUGAUCCAUCAGCUGCCAAACAAACACAAGAAAAUGAUUGCUGGAGAAACGCGAACUCUGAAAGACACACAGGACAACUAAGACACUUUAAAAAACAAAGGAGCCUUUAAUUUUCUGGAGCCUAUCUGACUUUCUAUCACUGUGUUCAUGUAAUAAAAUAUUUGGUGCCUUUCAUAGUAAUUUCAUAGUAAUUUCAACUUUGGUUUAAAGACUCUGUAGAUAAGUUUCUUCAUAAUUCACAUAAUACGUAAUGAAAACAGGGCACCUGGCAUUUGCUUUGGAUAAUACUUUUCUAGAAUGAUCUAGGAAAUUUCUCAUUACUGAAAUCAC